rnacentral:lncRNA from 1 species
GUGGGGGUGAGAGAAAAGUUUUUUUGUGCACUGAAGUCUCAUAUAGUCUAUCCACUGCCUGUGCAAUUUGGGUUCCCCUCCAAAAUCCCGGAUUCACGCUACCCUUGUCAUUGCUGGCAGAAAAUCAGUAAGUACAUACACUCUACAUGUAUGUGUAAAAAAUACUUGUGUAGUCUACUUGUUCAAAAAUAAAAAUGAACAAUGAUG